rnacentral:lncRNA from 1 species
GAUCCUGGUCACCGUCAAAACUCCCUCUUCCAUGCCAGCAACCGAUCAAUCACACAAUGGAAGAAGAGAAGAGGGGACAGCCUCCGUCCUUCUUCUUCUUAAUUUUUUUUAAAAUUUGUUUGGGAUCUAGAUUGAAACCACCAACCGGCUCAUGCCGGUGGCUGUCAGAGCACGGGGUUGGGGUCUGGAAGCAACACAUGGUG